UCUGAACGCUGGCGGCAUGCUUUACACAUGCAAGUCGAACGGUAACAGGCCGCAAGGUGCUGACGAGUGGCGAACGGGUGAGUAAUGCAUCGGAACGUGCCCAGUCGUGGGGGAUAACGCAGCGAAAGCUGCGCUAAUACCGCAUACGAUCUAUGGAUGAAAGCGGGGGACCGUAAGGCCUCGCGCGAUUGGAGCGGCCGAUGUCAGAUUAGGUAGUUGGUGGGGUAAAGGCUCACCAAGCCAACGAUCUGUAGCUGGUCUGAGAGGACGACCAGCAACACUGGGACUGAGACACGGCCCAGACUCCUACGGGAGGCAGCAGUGGGGAAUUUUGGACAAUGGGCGCAAGCCUGAUCCAGCAAUGCCGCGUGCAGGAAGAAGGCCUUCGGGUUGUAAACUGCUUUUGUACGGAACGAAAAGGCUCUGGUUAAUACCUGGGGCUCAUGACGGUACCGUAAGAAUAAGCACCGGCUAACUACAUGCCAGCCGCCGCUGUAACAC
rnacentral:rRNA from 1 species